rnacentral:tRNA from 1 species
UCCCUGGUGGCUCAGAUGGUAAAGCGUCUGUCUGCUAUACAGGAGACCCGGGUUUGAUCCCUGGGUUGGGAG